CCUACGGGAGGCAGCAGUGGGGAAUUUUCCGCAAUGGGCGCAAGCCUGACGGAGCAAGACCGCGUGAGGGAGGAAGGCUCUUGGGUUGUAAACCUCUUUUAUCAGGGAAGAAGAUCUGACGGUACCUGAUGAAUCAGCAUCGGCUAACUCCGUGCCAGCAGCCGCGGUAAUACGGAGGAUGCAAGCGUUAUCCGGAUUUAUUGGGCGUAAAGCGUCCGCAGGUGGUUAUUCAAGUCUGCUGUUAAAGCGCGAGGCUUAACUUCGUACAGGCAGUGGAAACUGGAUGACUGGGGUAUGGUAGGGGUAGCGGGAAUUCCCAGUGUAGCGGUGAAAUGCGUAGAUAUUGGGAAGAACACCAGCGGCGAAAGCGCGCUACUGGGCCAUUACUGACACUCAUGGACGAAAGCUAGGGGAGCGAAAGGGAUUAGAUACCCCUGUAGUCCUAGCUGUAAACGAUGGGUACUAGGUGUUGACCGUAUCGACCCGGUCAGUGCCGUAGCUAACGCGUUAAGUACCCCGCCUGGGGAGUAUGNCGCAGAGUGAAACUUAAAAUUAAGUAAUUAGUACGGCGUGAGACGUGCCGAACGGACGACCGACCGAACGGGGAAGGUAAGGGAG
rnacentral:rRNA from 1 species